rnacentral:rRNA from 1 species
UACGGAGGGGACUAGCGUUGUUCGGAAUUACUGGGCGUAAAGCGCACGUAGGCGGAUUUGUAAGUCAGGGGUGAAAUCCCGGGGCUCAACCUCGGAACUGCCUUUGAUACUGCAAAUCUCGAGUCCGGAAGAGGUGAGUGGAAUUCCUAGUGUAGAGGUGAAAUUCGUAGAUAUUGGGAAGAACACCGGUGGCGAAGGCGGCUCUCUGGACCGAUACUGACGCUGAGGCGCGAAAGCGUGGGGAGCAAACAGG